rnacentral:tRNA from 1 species
GGAGAGGUCGCCUAGAGGCCGAGGGCGACGGUUUGCUAAACCGUUAAGGGGUUAACACCCCUUCGAGGGUUCGAAUCCCUCCCUCUCCGCCA